AGGUCUAUAAUCCUGACACUUCAUAGGCCAAACCGAGAGGAUCCCAAGUUGAAUUCAAGGCCAGCCUAAGCUAUAUAGUGAGACCUACUCUUGAACAAAACAAACAGCGUUAUUGAAAAGCAAAAGAUACAAGUCUGAUGUAAAGGAAUAAGGUUUGUAGUCCAUUAUUAAAACCAGAAUUUGUUUUGAUUUUAGAAUCCAUAAAAAUAAGCCAUAGCUUAACAGGUGAAUAUGUUCACAAAGGCGUUAUUCACAAAAACCAAAAGAAGCAAUUGAUACUGCUAAUUGGAAGACUCACAGAUAAAGAGCAUAGGGAGUAUCUAUAUAAUGGAGUGAGCACAUCUCAGUCUUCCAAUAGAAGAAAUUCUGCAUAAAAGAGGUGAAUCUGGGAAACAUUAUACAAGGUAAAAUAUAUUGAGGAUACAAGUACUACUGCUGUAAAAUUACAGGUAUGUAAGGAAACUAUAGUAAUUAAAGCUAUAGAGCUAGGGUAGUAGCCACCAGGCACUGAUAGAAGUGAAUAAAGUAGUUAGGGGUGAGAGAUUGUCAGAGGAAGAGCAAAAUAUUCCCAAGGCAACGGCAAGGAUGUUUGCUAAAUACUGUUAGUUUGUUCAAUGUUCCCUUAUUGUCCCUUAAAAAUUAGUUAAAAUGACAAAACGUGCUAUAUGUAAUUUGACACCAUAAACACAAAAUAGAUUAAAAGGCAUUAAAUGUCAUUUGUUCAAUUUAUUAUUGCCUUCAAGACAGAUAUUUUGAAAGCUUGAAAUCUGAUCUAUUAAUAAGGAAUAUUCUCACAAAGAUUAUUUAAUACACAUACUAAAUGAUAUCAAUUACACACACACACACACACACACACACUAAAUGACAUCGAUUCCUAAGAGUUAUAAAAUGCUGAAGCCAGUAGAGGAAAAAUUUUCUCUACAAUAGAGACCGACUAGAGUAACUCUAACGGAAACAUGGUAGAAGGCAAGAUGGAAGGACCUUGUGACCAAGUGAGUAAACACAGGUUCAGCGUGAGCAACUGGAAAUGCACUGGAAGGAACCAGUUUGAACCUCAAAAAAGUGGCUUGGCUGUGGAUAAUCUGGUUACAGGAUGUAACAGAUAACCAGCAAGCAGCAAGACUUGCAUAAUUUAAAUAAGGGAGCAGGGGGAGGAGUUGGAGUAUCAAUGUCUAUCACAGCAUUGAAGCCUGGUUGUCACCAAAGAGAAUGGAGAAAUUGUACAAUAGCCAAUGCAUAGGCCUAAAGUCCCAGAUUGAUUUUAAACCCUAACAAGGAGAAAAGAGGUGAUUCCGCAUGGCCGGAAUGGGGGAGGGUAUCCAUCCGUAUGCUCUCAGGAAAGGCAGAACACAGAACAAAUUCAGCACUGGUUACUGGAUAUAAAUGAUACCUAAAUAAUGAGUCUAAGCUCUUUAAUUUGUACAUGCUGUUUACAAGAUGCCAGACAUUUAUCUUGAAAUUGUUGAUAAUGGCUUUCUCUCAUAAUAAGAGUACAACAAAAAUUCUUGAACUCUGUGACAUAUCUCUGUAUAUUCUAGUUUACAAAAUCCUUUUCUAAAAAGAAAAAAUCCAUUUCUUAAGCUUAGAAUAACUUCCCCAGGAGGCUGUAAAAUAUCCAAAAACUCAGAAUAGCUACUUAGAAACAGAACCUGUUCACAAUAUAAAAACAGUUUCCUUUGCCACAGCUAAAGGUGACAAAUUAUUUUCUCUUUAAAUGACUCUGGUCCUGUGGUGGCAUUAGGAAUGCAUAUUAAAUAAAGUGUUACAAUGAACUUUCUUCUUUACUCUGCCAAAUUUUCUCAAUGCUCAGAAAUUAACAAAAAUGAUUUAAAUAUAUCAAAAUCAGUUAAAAAGUAUAAAAUGCAAAUGAUAAUCAUAAAACAGAAUGAAACUAAAUUCUUUCUUAAACAAAAGAAUAUAGCAAUUAGUAACUGUAAAAUUAAGGAAUUUUUUUUUAUUUUUAAUGUAAUUCGGAAAAUUUUAAAUAGCUAUUAUUGUUUCUGGUAAUUAAAAUUACUAACAGCAUGAACUCAUAGUGUAAAAUGAAGUUUCAAUUUUUAAUAUAAGAUAAUGUGAGAAUAUUGAUAAUAUACUAUCAAAUAAUUCCAAUAAUGCUUUAUAAAUAUCAAACACAUCAAAUAGUUUUGUUCCACAAAGGAAGGCAAUAUUGAAUGAGUGAAUGACUCUGGUUCAACUUUAACAAUCACGCCAUAGCGCUAUUCUCAGAACCUUAUCAUCCCUGUUUCUUUCCUCCAUUAUUUGCACUAUAGAAUUGGUUCGUUCCAACGCAACCUUACCAACAUGGAAUGACUGGAAGAAUUACAGUAAGCCGAGUGGAUAGUAUAAAGCUUCAGCUAUAAGCAUCUAGAUACAAUGUAAAUUCCUGAGCAAGCAGCAACCUGAUUUUGAGUCUCUAACGACCAUUUCACCAAAUGAAAACAAUUCAUGACU
rnacentral:lncRNA from 1 species